rnacentral:rRNA from 1 species
UACGUAGGGACCGAGCGUUGUCCGGAAUCAUUGGGCGUAAAGAGCGUGUAGGCGGCCCCUUAAGUCCUGCGUGAAAUCCUGCGGCUCAACCGCAGACGGUCGUGGGAAACUGGAGGGCUAGAGUGCGGGAGAGGAGAGUGGAAUUCCCGGUGUAGCGGUGAAAUGCGCAGAUAUCGGGAAGAACACCCGUGGCGAAGGCGGCUCUCUGGGCCGAUACUGACGCUGAGGAGCGAAAGCGUGGGGAGCGAACAGG